rnacentral:rRNA from 1 species
CGUGUAGGCGGCUGAGCAAGUCAGAUGUGAAAGCCCUGGGCUUAACCCAGGAAGUGCAUUUGAAACUGCUUAGCUUGAGUAAGGGAGAGGAAAGUGGAAUUCCUGGUGUAGAGGUGAAAUUCGUAGAUAUCAGGAGGAACACCGGUGGCGAAGGCGACUUUCUGGCCCUAUACUGACGCUGAGACGCGAGAGCGUGGGUAGCAAACAG